rnacentral:tRNA from 1 species
GACAAGGGGGAUAAGCUGGUAGUACGCAGCCCUGAAAAGGCUGGCGUCGGCGGUUCAACUCCGUCCCUGGCCACCA